rnacentral:rRNA from 1 species
GUCGAGCGGCAGCGGGGAGUAGCUUGCUACUCUGCCGGCGAGCGGCGGACGGGUGAGUAAAGUCUGGGGAUCUGGCUUAUGGAGGGGGGUAACCAUUGGAAACGGUGGCUAAUACCGCAUGAUGUCGCAAGACCAAAGUGGGGGACUUUAGGGCCUCACGCCAUAAGAUGAACCCAGAUGAGAUUAGCUAGUAGGUGCGGUAAUGGCGUACCUAGGCGACGAUCUCUAGCUGGUCUGAGAGGAUGACCAGCCACACUGGAACUGAGAAACGGUCCAGACUCCUACGGGAGGCAGCAGUGGGGAAUAUUGCACAAUGGGCGGAAGCCUGAUGCAGCCAUGCCGCGUGUGUGAAGAAGGCCUUAGGGUUGUAAAGCACUUUCAGCGGGGAGGAAGGCGGUAAGAGUAAUAUGCUUAUCGAUUGACGUUACCCGCAAAAGAAGCACCGGCUAACUCCGUGCCAGCAGCCGCGGUAAUACGGAGGGUGCGAGCGUUAAUCGGAAUAACUGGGCGUAAAGGGCAUGUAGGCGGUAAGUUAAGUCAGAUGUGAAAUCCCCGAGCUUAACUUGGGAACGGCAUUUGAGACUGGCGGGCUAGAGUUUUGUAGAGGGGGGUAGAAUUCCAGGUGUAGCGGUGAAAUGCGUAGAGAUCUGGAGGAAUACCGGUGGCGAAGGCGGCCCCCUGGACAAGGACUGACGCUGAGGUGCGAAAGCGUGGGUAGCAAACAGGAUUAGAUACCCUGGUAGUCCACGCUGUAAACGAUGUCGAUUUGGAGGUUGUGGCCUAGUGUUAUGGCGUCCGAAGCUAACGCGAUAAAUCGACCGCCUGGGGAGUACNGCCGCAAGGUUAAAACUCAAAUGAAUUGANGGGGGCCCGCACAAGCGGUGGAGCAUGUGGUUUAAUUCNNUGCAACGCGAAGAANCUUACCUACUCUUGACAUCCACGGAAUUGAGCAGAGAUGCUUAAGUNGCCUUCGGGAGCCGUGAGACAGGUGCUGCAUGGCUGUCGUCAGCUC